rnacentral:SRP_RNA from 1 species
GCCGGGCGUGGUGGCGCACGCCUGUAGUCCCAGCUACUCGGGAGGCUGAGGCAGGAGAAUCGCUUGAACCCAGGAGGUGGAGGUUGCAGUAGGCCAAGAUCAUGCCACUGCACUCCAGCCUGGGUGACAGAGCAAGACUCCGUCUCCC